rnacentral:rRNA from 1 species
UACGUAGGUGGCAAGCGUUAUCCGGAAUUACUGGGUGUAAAGGGAGCGUAGGCGGGCAAGCAAGUCAGAUGUGAAAUACAGGGGCUCAACUCCGGGGCUGCAUUUGAAACUGCAUGUCUUGAGUGAUGUAGAGGUAAGCGGAAUUCCUAGUGUAGCGGUGAAAUGCGUAGAUACUAGGAGGAACACCAGUGGCGAAGGCGGCUUACUGGGCAUUUACUGACGCUGAGGCUCGAAAGUGUGGGGAGCAAAC